AUACGGAGGAUGCAAGCGUUAUCCGGAUUUAUUGGGUUUAAAGGGUGCGUAGGCGGAUGAUUAAGCGUGAGGUGAAAUGCCACUGCUCAACAGUGGAACUGCCUCGCGAACUGGUUGUCUUGAAUGCUCCUGCCGUGGGAGGAAUGUGUGGUGUAGCGGUGAAAUGCAUAGAGAUCACACAGAACACCGAUUGCGAAGGCAUCUCACGAAGGGGUGAUUGACGCUGAGGCACGAAAGCGUGGGGAUCAAACAGGAUUAGAUACCCUGGUAGUCCACGCAGUAAACGAUGAUAACUAACCGCUGGGUCGUAGUGAUUCAGUGGCCAAGCGAAAGCGAUAAGUUAUCCACCUGGGGAGUACGACCGCAAGGUUGAGACUCAAAUGAAUUGACGGGG
rnacentral:rRNA from 1 species